CCAGGGAGCCGCCAGGCGGCAGCGUGCAGCAAGGCACGGCUCUGCCGCCGCCCUGCGCCCUCCCGCAGCAGCAGGGAGGAGGAGGACGGAGCCCGGCACAAAGAAGGCUCUUCCUCCUGCAAAAUAGAAAAUGCGCUUUUAAUCCUCCUGAAGAAGCGCCCUGGGAAGCCCUGCGAACAAACAGGGCGCCAAGGAACAAAGCAUGAGGCGCUGGCGCAGCGUUAUUAGCCUGGAUUAGCGAGGGGCGGUAGGAGCCACACGGGGAAGGUGUGACACCUCAUUGAUUAAGACUGGUCUACCAAAAGCUCCUGCUCUGCCUGCAGCCGCUGCCUCGAUUUCAGCCUGGUAGUUCUGAGCUGCCUGGCGCUGGUUUCGUAAUGCAAAAUCUGUUUAAAAAGCAAAACAGCAAAAAAUCUCUCGACCACUUCUGCUCUGAAGCCAAGGCUUGGCCAGUCACAAGGGGUUAUCAGCAACAGUUCAGCACAAAAAGCCACCUGCAUGGGCCAGAGAAGAAACCCCAGAGGUGCUACAGCAGCCAGCCAGCACUGGGGCGCGUGGGUGCUGCAGGACCACACCGACUGACCCAUUCCCGAGGCUGCUGACCCCACUGACACAAAGGAUGCUCUGAACAAAACCACCCUCUGCUACUUGGCAGGCUCCUCUUACCUUCUGUAAAACCCUUUCCUGCUUCACCUAUAUUCCUCUCCUCUUGUAUUUACUUAGCCCUCCUGAACACUGCUGUGUACGCUAGUUUACUCAGCAUAUGCUGUUUUCAUACUAAAAAGGGGCUCAAAACCCCUUUAAGACCUGAAUAUGCACAUGAAGCCUUGCAGCACACCAGUUACACGAGGAAUUUAGAAAUAAGAAAUUUUGGUGAAGCACAAGAAACUUUUACUAGGUCAUCCAAGCUUCUUGUGGAAAUGCUGACAGCCUCAUUAAAAACAACUGGAAGCCAGUUAAAAACGAACUGUGUAAGAAACAUUUAUUCACAUACAAUUGAGGACCUUUCUGCUAGCAGUAAAGUACCCUAGACAACUAAAUAAAUGUCUUUAUUUCCCACUUCUCUAUUAAGGGGAUACCAGGGAAACUGGAGUGAAGAUAUGCCUGUUUGCUUUGAGGUAGAAAAGCCCUCUGCUGGUUAACAUAAACUAAUUAACACGCUAAUCUGAAUGUUUCUAUAGAUAACAGAACCACACACACACACACAAAAAGGAGAGGGUGGUUAAGGAAGAGGCAGAGAAAAAUCAUCGGUGAUCUCAGAAAUUGUCAUUCUUCAGCUUAUUUACUAGACCCAUAAAUGCAAAGGGUAGGUUUUCUUUUUCUUUUUUUUUUUUCCUGUUUGUAACUUUAAACACUCUUUGGGCUUACAAAAUACGCACUUUAAUAAAUCUUAUUAGGUAUUUGCAAUAAUACCUAAUGCAAAAAAGGAACUUCAGAACCCAGUGAGAUGCAUGGGCAGACUUGAGCACUCCAACACUGAAAAAGCGGUUUAUAUACGCAUUAUAACCAGGUCUCAUGUUUGCCAUGCAAAACAAAGGAAACAAUUCCUUCCUAUAAUAUGCGUGCUGUUUGCACACAUCUUUUUGUCUCAUGUCCUGUCUCUUUUUAAAACAUAUUUCAAAAUUAAUUCACAGCCAAAACAGUGAAAUUACUUGAUCUUACUGGCAUUGUACUUAUUUCUUUUAUAGGAAGCAAGCUAGGAACAUAUUAUUUCUGUAAACCAUGCAUUAAUAAUAUCAGACUUCAGAAGGCAGACAGAAGGGUCACUUUUACAUGUGUGCGCCCAGGUACAGGAUGGCUGUUGUGCUUUUUCAGUGCAGCUGUACGUUUGCAUGCCUGCUUAGUCUGGUAAGCACUGAGGAAGUGUUGCAACUCUGGAGAGAAUUUGUAAAUGCAACCCAGCCCUGCCACGCCCGGAGGAAUGCUGCAAUCCCCUCUCUUCCCCACAACAGGCUCUAGGUUAAAAGAAACUCAAUUCUAGGCGGAGGAUGAGUGCAAGGAAUGUUGCUGACAUGCAGAGAGCGAGGAGGAAAACACGGAGUUUGUGUCUCAGUUACUGCCGUACAUCGUUCCAUUUAAUUCCAAUUAAAACAGCCCUGUUAAAAGUCCGAUAAAAAUGCACAAGAAAAGAAAAUUUCUAAAAUAAUAUAUGGCCUAUGUAUGUGUACAUGCUCUAUGUGGAGUAUGUAUUGUGUGUGUGCUCACUGCGUAUGUACACGUCCAUGUAUUCAGCAGGAGCACCAACUGUGACAAAUGAGAGAAAUUCCCCCCUGCUAUUUCCCCUUCUGCUGUAUCCAGGCCUGAAACCAACUUGGAUUCUCCUUUGCAAACCUGAAACACUUUAAUAUUUUUCCCUACCAAUAGCAGUUUCCAGGGGGAACAAGACCCAAGAACAUAAAAUAACGUUUGGCAAAGCCACUCACUCUCACAGAGGUGACUCCAAGUGGACAGUAUGGAAAACACACAGGCAGGAAGGCUUCCUAUUCACCAGCUGCCAAAACAAGGUGAGGACAGAAGGGAAAACGAAAACCCCAAAUUAUCCUGAGUAGAAGAGAACACAGGAUAAAUCAGGACAUUCAUGCUAGCAGCAGGAACAAUGUUAAGCUGCCGCUCAACCACUGGCAUGUGAAAUAAUCAGCCUCGAGAGAACAGC